rnacentral:lncRNA from 1 species
GAAAGUUAAAAGCGAGCACGUCUUUCUGGAAGUCUGGCUGGGCCUGCACUCAAUCUCCCAGCCCCGCUGUCCGCACUGCAGUGCUUGCUCUCCUCGGGCAGCGGCCUGACUGCCUGGCUGCUCCUGCUCUGUCCAGGCAGCCCAGCUGGUCAGAGAUCCCUGCAGGGCCCCGGCCCUCAGAGAGGUCACCCAGUCCCCCUUCCCAGCGGCCAGGUUGCCUGGCCAGUGUGGAUGUGGGGAGGAGCAGAGGUCUCCUGGAUGCUGUGGCUGCACAGACAUCUCCAGACUGCCAAGUUCUGCCUGCCUCCCGUGCAGCCAGCACCCGGCCAGGCUUGAAUCAUUCUUCAGCUUGAGCUGCGUCCCACGCUGCCGGCUCCAGUUCGAUCCCUGCAGAGCAGCACUCAUCCACCCACACUUGCUGCUGGCACCCGGUUGCCUGUCAAACUCACCCCGCUGCAUGCUGGGUCCUCACACCCAUGGCACACAUCCCAGUUCCAGGGUCGCUGCAGUGACGGAUUGAGUCCCAGAGCUUGAAAUUGUCCUCAACUCUGCCCUUGCAUCCCUGUCUGAUGGUGAGGUCUCUGGGUUCCUGCAGCCUGGUCACUCUGGUCAGCGGGUCCAGCUCCGAUGACUGCAGUGUUUCCUGACAUGUCCCCUGCUGCCUUGUGUGUGGUUUGUGAAAUCAUGAGAAAUAGACACAUUGAUCUCUGCCCUGGUCCCUGGCCUACAGCUGCUGAAGCCCUUGCAGACAGGGGCACUGGGAGGUUGUUUGUUCUAGUAUCGGGUCUUUGACCCCAGUUCCAGAGCUCCUAGGAUGUCUGUCAUUUCCUGAGUGAUAGGAGGGUCCAGCACACAGGUCCUCGUCCUCUGGAAUUUCCUGGGAGGUGAGAGUAUCCAUUGUUCCUGUGAGGGACCUCUCUGGUGGGCUCCUGGGAAGCGGGAGGACCAAGCCAGCUCCACCUGCCCCUCAUCGUCUGGGAAGAGGAUUAAUAAUUGGUUAUGCAGAUGGGAUGCAGCCUCCAUAAAAAUCCCUGAAUUCCUGGGUUUGAGAGCUUCCGGACAGCUGAACACACAGAAGUCUCUGGAGGGGAACCCCGAGGAUGGACCCUGUCCAGGGCCCUCUCCACUGUGUCCCUUGUUGUAUCCUUUAUGACAAAUGACUGUACUAUGUAGAGUGUGCUCCUGCAUUCUGCUUUAACAGAUUAACAAUGUCGAUGAGGGACAGUAGGAACCCCUAGUCUGUAGCCUGUCAGUCAGAAGUUCCAGAGGCCUGCACUCGCAGGUGGCAUCGCAAGAGGGGACAAUAUGGCUGAGCCCUGUGACGCUGUCUCCAAGUGGACAGGGUCAGAAUCGAGUUGAGCACACACUUGGUGCUGAAGGCUGGAGGGCUGGCUGUGAAUGGGAGAAAACCUCACCCACGCUUGGAUCUGGGAAGUGUGUUGUGUGGUCUUCACAGUAAGACUAUUUUCUAGCUGGAGUUAGCUCAGCUGACCCCAUCUGCCUGGGUGACUUUCACAAACUUAUUGAGUGAAAGGUGCUAAAUACAUGACUAAAUGUAUGUGAAGUUCAAGAAUAAGCAGACUGGCAGAGGUAGGUGCUAUCAUUGCCUCUAGGGCGGGUGUGCCGCAGACCAGCUGCAGUCGAUGUAGGGUAGGAAGGGGAGAUGUCCUGGGCCGGAGAUGAGAAAAGAACCUUCACAAGCAAUGUUCAGGUUCCCUCUGAGAAGUCUUUGGGUCUGAUUUAUUUUUAUAUCUUUAAGCAACAGCUAAGAGGCAUUGGGCGGAACAUGUUCACAUUUUAUGUUGCCUUAGCAAUAUCUGAUGAGGUACAGGUUAUUUUUGCUAAACAGUAUAUUUUUUCUAAGCUGAUUCAUUUCAUUGAACAUCAUGAAUACAUUUCUUAAAAAUUGCAAUUGUUCCCUCAUUGUCCCAUACCUAAGCAGAACAAAAAGUAACUUAAUCAAAUUAAAUGUCAAACUUGUGGUCACCAGCUAGCCCUUGAGAAACUGCACAAUGGUUAAUAUAGUUUGCUAUUAGCUCUAUUUAUCUUAACUAAAUGUCAUUUGGGUUCAUAGUCCAUGAGCAGGAGAUAUUUACAGCACUUUGAGAGAUAUUGAGUAACUUGCCUCCUUAAUGCAUUUACCUGUCUUAACGUUCUUUUUAUUUCCCAUUUCCCACUAUUUCUUACAUCUAAAGCCUGACCUUUCAAUCUCUUCAUAAGACCCCUUUAGUAAAAAGAAUGUCAGCAAUAAGAGAGGGAGUUAUAGUAGUGGGCAACAGAGGGGGUUUUAGGAGAGGUUUCUUUAGGAGUGGAUGUGGCAAUAGAACUAAGAGAAACUGGAAUUUGGGGCUUAUGAGCCAGAUCAGAUUUCAAUAUAUCAUUGCCAAUUUGCCUCAUGGAGAGUUUGUUGUUAGUCAUAAACACAAUGGCUCCUGUGAUCAGAGGAAUAAUUAUAAACAUUAUGGCAAGAAAAAAAUAAAACAUGAGGGUACGAUGUGUUCCACCCUUUCUUUCCCCCAGCUGGAACUUUGUCAAGCAGCAAUGGAGGUCCGUUGGGCUUCGCCACAGUUCUGCAUGACCUAAAAUCCCUCCACACUUGGAUUUCAUGAUGUUUUAUGGAAUGUGCAGUGACCUUGUUUUCCACGUUUCGAACCAGAAAAUCUUUGGACUCAUGGGAACAUGGGUUUGGAGCCAGACAGACAGCCUGACAACAGGGCUGUGGAAGAACUCAAGGCCGGUGCUGGUCCAGGGAGAGGAAGCACAGGGCCGAGGCUGGGCCAGAUGGUGCCACUUGUACAGGCUGGAGUUCCUCGUAGGACCACCUGCUUACCUUCAUGCUGCCCGACCCCACUGCAGCCCUGGGAACCCUCUGCUCCAUGAACUGACUUGACUCCACUCGGUAAAAAUCUACCCUCAGGAGCUGUAACAGGGUGAGGGCCUAAGGCACCUGGGCUCAACUUUUCUCCCAUGAAUUAUACUUCCUGCCACAGAAAUCUGGAAGCUGCGAUACACACAGACGUCAGCCUUCUAACUUAGCCUGGCCGGCACGGAAAUGAAGUCCUAGGUCCCCCACCUUGAGGACACCCGACUCCAUGGGAACUCCACCCCAGACCAAGAUGCAUCUCUGUCCCAAGGCUUGUCCUCCAUUCUCUGAGAGGGGACUGUUUUAAUUUUGCCUAAUAAACCUCUUCACUCCUCUUGCUGAUGAAUCUUGAAAAUACUUUUUCUGCGAUGGAAGUCAGCGAACUUUCAACCUGUUGCAUGGGUGUGGUGAGUCCCAAUUCCCAUCUUCAGUUUGGGGACUUGGACCCUGUCCAGUGACACCUGGUGCUAGCUGUUUACUGAGCUUGGGUUUUAUUUUGUGGAAUGGCUGGAGGAUGCAGGCAUGUGUCCCCUCCAAUACUUACUGGCUGUCUUCCUAGUGGGUUUUGGUUCCUCAGCCAUGAAAAAGUGUAGCCUGAAUAAAAUCCAGCACUGCUGUGGUCCAGGACCACAGGGCCAUGCACAAGGACAGCAGCCUGGGGGAAAUUCCAUGCAUCAGCCUGUAGCCUGUUGGUUGGACACACCUGUGUCAAAGUAAAAAUGCCUUAAAAAAGGAAGCUUGUUGCUUAUACACAUUAACUAUAUUAUGUAUUUUAUACGAAGCACAAGGCAAUUCCUUGUCCCCUCCUGUGGCCCAGGCAGGCCAGGCCUAUCCCAC